rnacentral:lncRNA from 1 species
UCUAACCGAGUCCGCCAAGGGUGUUAAAAUAUUCACACGUGAAACACAUUUUUUUUUUUAAAACCAGCCGUUCCUUGGCGUUGGCCGAGUUACACAUUCACGUGGGGGUUCGACGUGAAGUGAGCUCUAAUACUACCCCAGGAGUUACCCUCCUCGCCUCUACAACCGGAGUAACUAUAUAACUGGGUUUACCGUGCCCCUCUAAU